UAGAGAUUGAACCACCAACCAAAGACCAUGCU
rnacentral:piRNA from 1 species